CCCGCACAAGCGGUGGAGUAUGUGGUUUAAUUCGAUGCAACGCGAAGAACCUUACCAGGGUUUGACAUCCUGCGAAUCUUUUGGAAACAGAAGAGUGCCCUUCGGGAACGCAGUGACAGGUGGUGCAUGGCUGUCGUCAGCUCGUGUCGUGAGAUGUUGGGUUAAGUCCCGCAACGAGCGCAACCCACGUCUUUAGUUGCCAGCAUUCAGUUGGGCACUCUAGAGAGACCGCCGGUGAUAAACCGGAGGAAGGUGUGGAUGACGUCAAGUCAUCAUGCCCCUUACAUCCUGGGCUACACACGUACUACAAUGCUACGGACAAAGGGCAGCAAACUCGCGAGAGCUAGCAAAUCCCAUAAACCGUGGCUCAGUUCAGAUCGUAGGCUGCAACUCGCCUACGUGAAGGAGGAAUCGCUAGUAAUCGCAGGUCAGCAUACUGCGGUGAAUACGUUCCCGGGUCUU
rnacentral:rRNA from 1 species